GAUGAACGCUGGCGGCGUGCCUAAUACAUGCAAGUCGAGCGAAUGACGAGGAGCUUGCUCCUCUGAUUUAGCGGCGGACGGGUGAGUAACACGUGGGUAACCUGCCUGUAAGACGGGGAUAACUCCGGGAAACCGGAGCUAAUACCGGAUGAUAACGAGAAGCGCCUGCUUCUUUUUUGAAAGUCGGUUUCGGCUGACGCUUACAGAUGGGCCCGCGGCGCAUUAGCUAGUUGGUGAGGUAACGGCUCACCAAGGCGACGAUGCGUAGCCGACCUGAGAGGAGGAUCGGCCACACUGGGACUGAGACACGGCCCAGACUCCUACGGGAGGCAGCAGUGGGGAAUCUUCGGCAAUGGACGAAAGUCUGACCGGGCAACGCUGCGUGAGCGAUGAAGGCCCUCGGGUCGUAAAGCUCUGUUGUCAGAGAAGAACAAGUACCGGAGUAACUGCCGGUACCUUGACGGUACCUGACCAGAAAGCCACGGCUAACUACGUGCCAGCAGCCGCAGUAACAC
rnacentral:rRNA from 1 species